GAUGAACGCUGGCGGCGUGCCUAAUACAUGCAAGUCGAGCGAACGGACGAGAAGCUUGCUUCUCUGAUGUUAGCGGCGGACGGGUGAGUAACACGUGGAUAACCUACCUAUAAGACUGGGAUAACUUCGGGAAACCGUAGCUAAUACCGGAUAAUAUUUUGAACCGCAUGGCUCAAAAGUGAAAGACGGUCUUGCUGUCACUUAUAGAUGGAUCCGCGCUGCAUUAGCUAGUUGGUAAGGUAACGGCUUACCAAGGCAACGAUGCAUAGCCGACCUGAGAGGGUGAUCGGCCACACUGGAACUGAGACACGGUUCAGACUCCUACGGGAGGCAGCAGUAGGGAAUCUUCCGCAAUGGGCGAAAGCCUGACGGAGCAACGCCGCGUGAGUGAUGAAGGUCUUCGGAUCGUAAAACUCUGUUAUUAGGGAAGAACAUAUGUGUAAGUAACUGUGCACAUCUUGACGGUACCUAAUCAGAAAGCCACGGCUAACUACGUG
rnacentral:rRNA from 1 species